rnacentral:rRNA from 1 species
CCUACGGGGGGCAGCAGUGAGGAAUAUUGGUCAAUGGGCGGGAGCCUGAACCAGCCAAGCCGCGUGAGGGAAGAAGGUACAGCGUAUCGUAAACCUCUUUUGUCAGGGAACAAAGUCGGGGACUAGUCCCCGGAUGAGGGUACCUGAAGAAAAAGCAUCGGCUAACUCCGUUCCAGCAGCCGCGGUAAUACGGAAGGUCCGGGCGUUAUCCGGAUUUAUUGGGUUUAAAGGGAGCGUAGUCCGGCUUUUAAGUCAGCUGUGAAAGUCCGCGGCUCAACCGUGGAAUUGCAGUUGAAACUGGAGGCCUUGAGUGCACACAGGGAUGGCGGAAUUCAUGGUGUAGCGGUGAAAUGCUUAGAUAUCAUGAAGAACUCCGAUCGCGAAGGCAAGUGUCCGGGGUGCAACUGACGCUGAGGCUCGAAAGUGCGGGUAUCAAACAGGAUUAGAUACCCGGGUAGUC